GCUCCAGUGGCGCAAUCGGUUAGCGCGCGGUACUUAUAUGGCAGUACGUCAGAGCGAUGCCGAGGUUGUGAGUUCGAGCCUCACCUGGAGCA
rnacentral:tRNA from 1 species